rnacentral:rRNA from 1 species
UACGAAGGGGGCUAGCGUUGCUCGGAAUCACUGGGCGUAAAGGGUGCGUAGGCGGGUCUUUAAGUCAGGGGUGAAAUCCCAGAGCUCAACUCUGGAACUGCCUUUGAUACUGGGUGUCUUGAGUAUGGAAGAGGUGAGUGGAAUUCCGAGUGUAGAGGUGAAAUUCGUAGAUAUUCGGAGGAACACCUGCGGCGAAGGCGGGUAGCUGGGCCGACACUGACGCUGAUGCGCGAAAGCCAGGGGAGCGAACGGG